AGCAAGGAACGUGGUGGUGGGAAGUGACUGCAGAGAAGGAAGAAAUCUCUAUCAUCCAUUUUCAACCCAAUUUACCUACCCUGGACCGGAACAAAACAGUGGGUCAGCAGGCUGGCCAAGAAAGGGAUGGAGUGUUCUGUCUUCCCUCUGUGCCUACUGCAGAAAACAUGGACUACCACAGGAAGGAAGCCUCCUCCUUGCCCAGCAUUGCAGUUCAGCAGGCUGCUGGAAGUGAACACAGUUCACCAUCUCUUCUCUGUCAGCCCACAGCAAGCAACAACUCUGUAAAGCUGAAGUAAACACAGCAGUUGAAAGUCAACAGCCUGAUUUCAACACCUAUAUCAUCAGAAGAGAAGACUUUGAAGCAACCUCGUGCCCUGCAGAAGUUUUGGACUACAACUCUCAUCAGCCCCAGCCAGCACAGCACAUUGCCAGGUUGCCAAAGUCUGGUGCAUGCCUUUUAAAAACAACAACAAUCCCAUGUACCAGUCUAUGCUUUUCAAAAAAAAAAUCUGUUCCUCCUAUACACCUCUAACAACUGAGUGAAUAAGAAAUUUCUCCUGAUCUGUCUGCAGUCCUGACCCAAUUACCACCACUAUUUCUGCUACUUGUAGUUAGUUUUACUUCCAAUAUUAAAAUGUCCAUACUUGAGUACUCAUUGAGUACAGAAUCAAGUUCAUAACUAAAGGAAAAGAUCCAAGUCUUAAUUUCAACAUUUUUUGAACCACAUAAGACUUGCAUUUUCACUUCUUUAUACAGUAUAUCUCUGGCCUCACCUGAAGACACAGAAACCAGUCCUAAGCAGUAAAAUGCCCCCUUUAUCCAGUUCUUUCAGUGACUGAGGUAGGAAAUCUUAAUAGCAUCCCCACAAUAUUAAAACACAACGCAAAUACCCAAACGUGUGCUGCCUGAGGCAGGCCAUCUCAAAUGGUCAGCCCUUCUCCUAUUUUAAUAACUUUGUGCUAUGGCAGGUGUGGGGAACCUCAGAUGUUGCUGAACUGCAACUUCCAUCAGCCCCAGUAAGCAUGUCCAUUGACCGUGGCGCAGAGUGGUAAGCGGCAGUAACGCAGCUGAAGCUCUGCUCACGGCCGGAGUUCGAUUCCAACGGAAGGAGGAAGUCGAAUCUCCGGUAAAAGGGGUCCACUCAGCCUUCCAUCCAUCCGUGGUCGGUAAAAUGAGUACCCGGCAUAUGCUGGGGCGUAAAGAAAGGCCAGGGAAGGAACUGGCAAUCCCACUCCAUAUAUAUGGUCUGCCUAGUAAACGUUGCAAGACGUCACCCUAAGAGUCGGAAACGACUCGCACUACAAGUGCGGGGACACCUUUACCUUUAGUUCAGCAACAUCUGGAAGGCCAAAGAUUGUUCACAUCUAUGCCAUGAGGCUACAGAGCUGAAAGGACAGCACACACUUUGGGUUCUCAUGACCUAUUGAUUGGUUAGGGGACCAAGGCCCCGGGAGACUGCUUCCCCUAUGCCCCCAGGAGAACAUCACAGAAAUAGGGGAAACAACUUGGGCUCAUCUGCACAUGGUUUGCGCAUGACCAAGAUGGCUGAUUAACUUAGAUCAUACUAAUCCAGAGGUCUAACUGCUAGCGAAAUAGUGUUUAAUGUGAACCUAAGGGCAGAGCUUGGAAAAGUUCUUUUUUUGAACUACAACUCCCAUCAGCCCAAUCCAGUGGCCAUGCUGGCUGGGACAGAUGGGAGUUGUAGUUCAAAAAAGUAACGUUUCCAAGCUCUGCCUAAGGGGAUGCAGCAUAGACCUCAACUCCACGGGGACAGGAGUUCAACUUGGCCCCAUCCAUCAGCUAAAGAAGGAGCAGCUACAGGGAGUUUAAAUCCCUCCACCUUGCUGGAAAGAACACUCCGUUCCAAAUGCCAAUUACCCUGGGGCUGUGGAAGCAAAAGGGAAUGGCGUUCUGGCUCCCUCCAUCAGCUAUGAAAAAGAGCCACCAACUGUUAUUCAAGCAAGAAUAUCAGCACAGCAAGGGAAGAGCAGCCUGGCCACAACUGGAUAUAAAUCUCCGCUUAUAGCUCACCAUUCUGGCCUUAAAUAACUCCUCUCCCUCUUUUUCUUCCACUGCCCUUCCCUUGACUAUCUAGUCUCUCACUUUUUUCUGUUGACAUGAGCCACUUUGGGGAACAAUAAUUGUCUGAAAAGUGGGAUAAAAUAUAAG